GCUGAGGUUUGCUCUGUACAUGCUCCAAACUCCAAAUGACCAGCAUAGGAGCAACCAGCACAUCUUAAAACCACCUUUCCCUACAAUGCUAUGGGUAUAGCUCCCUGGAUAAGCUAAGUAGGAAAAGGCAAAAGUAUGUCGGAUUAUGGUGGGGACUUUGAGAAAUUCAAGCUUAAUGAGAUAAAGACAGAUCCAGUGAAGAAACUGAGAAGAAGGAAAACAACCCAGAGUUUGGAAAAGGACAUGGUGAAAGCGGUCCACUCCCUGGUCUUCAGUAUAAGUCCCUUUUUGACCCAAGAGGAGGACACAUGCAUAAGGAUCCUGUGACUCAAGAGCUCUCCUCCAUCUCUGACUCCUGCAUGGCCAAGAAGGAAGAUUUUGUAAGAAACUUGGGAGGGGAGAGGAGAAGAGAAGAGAAGACAGGACAGGACUUCACCCUAUUUCAGUCACAAAGGAGGCGGGGAGAGGAAGAGUGAUUCUGCAUUGAGAAAGUUCUUUCAUCAUGAAAUGUAUGUUGCAGCAGAUUGGACAGAAGAUUGGACAUCCUUUGAGGUGUUAAUACUCAGUCCUGUAUGUGGAUCCUGACCCGGGAACGUGGUUCGUCGCUGGGUCGCUGAGAAGGUCCUGGUGGGGCUCCAGCAGCAGAGGUGGCUGCAGAGGUACUGUCACCGAAAUUUGGAAAACCUCAUCACACCGAGUGCUCCGCCCUGGCAGUCCUGCACCUGCAUCUGCCUGCACCACACUGCAGAGAGACCCGAGGUUGCUCGAAAAAAUUGCUUUAUGGGAGGUUUGCACAGAAUGCGAGGUGCACCACACUUACACCACUGCUAGGGUUCAUCCAGAGCAAUGUGCCAUAGCUCUGUCCCACCAUGGAACAUGCCCCAUGAACACACCCUGGGUGCUGUGGUGCUCAGCUUUGGGAAGUCUCAAGUUUGGGGCAAGUGCUGUUCAUGCCCCGGCACUCUUCCGUUCCUGUGAGCUUCACAGAGCUGUUCCCAGUCCCCCUCCCUCUGCUCCAGCUGUGGCUUGAGCUCCAUGGCCUAACGACAGCCAACAAAUCCCUGGCUUUCCUAACUGCUCCCUGGGGGCUGCCACACCACCUGGCCAGGACCAAGAGCCCGGCACGAGUCAGCAGUGAGAGGAUUGCCUUUCCUGGCUGGAGAUGAGAUGGCCUGUUUGGGUGAGACCUCGAGAUCUGCUGAGCAGAAGUCAGAUGAGAAGAAGUAUGGUCUCUCCUGCUCUUCCUUUCUAAGGCAAUGGCAUUCUUUUGCAUCAUCAUUCUUGUGCUGAUGUUGGGACUUUACCACCCCAAGAAGCAGCCUCGUGGGAGCACAGAAAGCCUUGUGGCCCAGGUCAGGUAGUAUGAUCAGGCAUGAAAGCACUUGGUCAGCUCACAAGGAAGGAAAAAGGUAUUUUUUAAAAGUUUGUUACAAGCACCUUACGGUUGGCAUUGACUCCUGACAUCCAAAAUCUCCUCCAGAAGAUUCCCCACAGAAGGAGCUCCCAGGUGUUUGGGUGGCUUUGCCCAAACCUGGUUCAGAUGAGCUUCUCAGAGCCUUCUCUGCCCAACAUGAGCUUUUAAUCGCCUCAGGCUGUACCAACCCUGUAUCUUGCAGAGGGAAAGAGAGGGAAAACCCCAUGUAAGAUGAGAAAUGUCUUCUACGAAUAAAC